GACGAACGCUGGCGGCGUGCUUAACACAUGCAAGUCGAACGGAAAGGCCCUGCUUUUGUGGGGUGCUCGAGUGGCGAACGGGUGAGUAACACGUGAGUAACCUGCCCUUGACUUUGGGAUAACUUCAGGAAACAGGGGCUAUUACCGGAUAGGAGCUCCUGCUCCAUGGUGGGGGUUGGAAAGAUUCGGCGGUUGGGGCUGGACUCGCGGCUUAUCCGCUUGUUGGUGUGGUAGUGGCUUACCAAGGCUUCGACGGAUAGCCGGCCUGAGAGGGUGAACGGCGACAAUAGGACUGAGAGACGGCCCAGACUCCUACGGGCGGCAGCAGUGGGGAAUAUUGCACAAUAGGCGGAAGCCUGAUGCAGCAACGCCGCGAGCGGGAAGACGGCCUUCGGGUUGUAAACCGCUGUCGCCUGUGACGAAGCGAGAGUGACGGUAAUGGGUAAAGAAGCACCGGCUAACUACGUG
rnacentral:rRNA from 1 species